rnacentral:rRNA from 1 species
UACGGGGGGGGCAAGCGUUGUUCGGAAUUACUGGGCGUAAAGGGCUCGUAGGCGGCCAACUAAGUCAGACGUGAAAUCCCUCGGCUUAACCGGGGAACUGCAUCUGAUACUGGAUGGCUUGAGUUCGGGAGAGGGAUGCGGAAUUCCAGGUGUAGCGGUGAAAUGCGUAGAUAUCUGGAGGAACACCAAAGGCGAAGGCAGUGUCCUGGGGAGUACCUGACGCUCAGGUGCGAAAGCCAGGGGAGCGAACGGG